rnacentral:ncRNA from 2 species
UCAAACCCAAGCUGUGUUGGUUCCUUGCGCUCGUCGGGCAAGAGGAUCAAAAGGGAACACGGUGCGGAUUACCCAUCAGGGGCCAAAACCGGGACUGCCCCCGCAACUGUAAGCGGCAAGCUUUCGCCACACGCCACUGAUCCCCACGGGAUCGGGAAGGCGGCGCAAGCGCUCAAGAUGCCGCCAGUCAGGAGACCUGCCAGCACGAAGGGGCAUUU